CACUCCCACACCACAAAGAAACUUGGUAUUUUAUACGUUUAUAUUCAGAAUUACUGGAUUUUUGGACGGUGUUCAUCGUCCUGUAUUUUAAGCACAACACACAACGUUUUGGAAACUGGAACUGUUUCCGUUUUCAGUCAGCUGACCAUCUUCAGAAGGCAUAAGGAUCAACAUGUUAUGGGACUACUAUUACAAAUACGCCCAUCCCUGCGCAACGGCUAGAACGGGAACACAGUUCCGCGACAGCUGGUGUCAGAAGUGGGAUUCGAACCCACGUCCACAGAAGUGGACUUCCAAUGGCUUUGGCUUCCAAGUAAAUGGCCUUCCAAUAACGACCUCCUCCACUAUUUUGUCGUCUGCUAUGUAGCGUAUUUAUGCCCUUGUUCCCUGUGACGCUCCUGUGGGUGUGUACUUGUGUUUUAUCACAAUGUCAAACAUAACUAUUCUGGUCAUCGUUUUUUUCUUAUGCUCUUUUGUUCUUUUAUUUAUAAAUAUAGCAAUUUAAACAACUUAAUGAAUAAAUAAAAGAAAAAAUCAUAAAAGAAAACGAUGUCAAGUUAUGUUUGACAUUGUGAUAAAACACAAGUACACGCAUAGGAGUGUCACAGGGAACAAGGGCAUAAAUACGCUACACAACACGCGAAAAUAUACUGGGGGAGGUCAUUAUUGGAAGGCCAUUUACUACUGAGUUUGUAUCGUGGAUUGGUUAGUAGGCACUGAGGUUGGAGAUUAACAAAUUUUGAGUCAGUGUUCUUUAGCGUGAUUCAGUGCCCACUCAUUUGUUGGACAAGAUCAGUGGUGUGCCGUGCAUGGAAGCAAGGGAAGCAUUGCUUCCGUAUUUAA